ACGAACGCUGGCGGCGCGCCUAACACAUGCAAGUCGAACGAGCGAGAGAGAGCUUGCUUUCUCGAGCGAGUGGCGAACGGGUGAGUAACGCGUGAGGAACCUGCCUCAAAGAGGGGGACAACAGUUGGAAACGACUGCUAAUACCGCAUAAGCCCACGACCCGGCAUCGGGUAGAGGGAAAAGGAGCAAUCCGCUUUGAGAUGGCCUCGCGUCCGAUUAGCUAGUUGGUGAGGUAACGGCCCACCAAGGCGACGAUCGGUAGCCGGACUGAGAGGUUGAACGGCCACAUUGGGACUGAGACACGGCCCAGACGCCUACGGGAGGCAGCAGUGGGGAAUAUUGCACAAUGGGGGAAACCCUGAUGCAGCGACGCCGCGUGGAGGAAGAAGGUCUUCGGAUUGUAAACUCCUGUUGUUGAGGAAGAUAAUGACGGUACUCAACAAGGAAGUGACGGCUAACUACGUG
rnacentral:rRNA from 1 species